GCAGGGGGCGGGACCAGAGGCGGUCACGUGAGGGGCUCUGGGCUACCGGGUCACGUGACCGAGGCACAGAUCAGCUGAUGCCGGAGGGUUUGAAGCCGCGCCGCGAGGGAGCGAGGUCGCAGUGACAGCGGCGGGCGAUCGGACCCAGGCUGCCCCGCCGUACCCGCCUGCGUCCCGCGCUCCCGCCCCAGCAUGACAGCCCCGGCGGGUCCGCGCGGCUCAGAGACCGAGCGGCUUCUGACCCCCAACCCCGGGUAUGGGACCCAGGCGGGGCCUUCGCCGGCCCCUCCGACACCCCCAGAAGAGGAAGACCUUCGCCGUCGUCUCAAAUACUUUUUCAUGAGUCCCUGCGACAAGUUUCGAGCCAAGGGCCGCAAGCCCUGCAAGCUGAUGCUGCAAGUGGUCAAGAUCCUGGUGGUCACGGUGCAGCUCAUCCUGUUUGGGCUCAGUAAUCAGCUGGCUGUGACAUUCCGGGAAGAGAACACCAUCGCCUUCCGACACCUCUUCCUGCUGGGCUACUCGGACGGAGCAGAUGACACCUUCGCAGCCUACACGCGGGAGCAGCUGUACCAGGCCAUCUUCCAUGCUGUGGACCAGUACCUGGCGUUGCCUGACGUGUCACUGGGCCGGUAUGCGUAUGUCCGUGGUGGGGGUGACCCUUGGACCAAUGGCUCAGGGCUUGCUCUCUGCCAGCGGUACUACCACCGAGGCCACGUGGACCCGGCCAACGACACAUUUGACAUUGAUCCGAUGGUGGUUACUGACUGCAUCCAGGUGGAUCCCCCCGAGCGGCCCCCUCCGCCCCCCAGCGACGAUCUCACCCUCUUGGAAAGCAGCUCCAGUUACAAGAACCUCACGCUCAAAUUCCACAAGCUGGUCAAUGUCACCAUCCACUUCCGGCUGAAGACCAUUAACCUCCAGAGCCUCAUCAAUAAUGAGAUCCCGGACUGCUAUACCUUCAGCGUCCUGAUCACGUUUGACAACAAAGCACACAGUGGGCGGAUCCCCAUCAGCCUGGAGACCCAGGCCCACAUCCAGGAGUGUAAGCACCCCAGUGUCUUCCAGCACGGAGACAACAGCUUCCGGCUCCUGUUUGACGUGGUGGUCAUCCUCACCUGCUCCCUGUCCUUCCUCCUCUGCGCCCGCUCACUCCUUCGAGGCUUCCUGCUGCAGAACGAGUUUGUGGGGUUCAUGUGGCGGCAGCGGGGACGGGUCAUCAGCCUGUGGGAGCGGCUGGAAUUUGUCAAUGGCUGGUACAUCCUGCUCGUCACCAGCGAUGUGCUCACCAUCUCGGGCACCAUCAUGAAGAUCGGCAUCGAGGCCAAGAACUUGGCGAGCUACGACGUCUGCAGCAUCCUCCUGGGCACCUCGACGCUGCUGGUGUGGGUGGGCGUGAUCCGCUACCUGACCUUCUUCCACAACUACAAUAUCCUCAUCGCCACACUGCGGGUGGCUCUGCCCAGCGUCAUGCGCUUCUGCUGCUGCGUGGCUGUCAUCUACCUGGGCUACUGCUUCUGUGGCUGGAUCGUGCUGGGGCCCUAUCAUGUGAAGUUCCGCUCGCUCUCCAUGGUGUCUGAGUGCCUGUUCUCGCUCAUCAACGGGGACGACAUGUUCGUGACGUUCGCCGCCAUGCAGGCGCAGCAGGGCCGCAGCAGCCUGGUGUGGCUCUUCUCCCAGCUCUACCUGUACUCCUUCAUCAGCCUCUUCAUCUACAUGGUGCUCAGCCUCUUCAUCGCGCUCAUCACCGGCGCCUACGACACCAUCAAGUGCUCAAAAGCCAGUGUGGCUGGUGGCUGCCAUAUUGGACAGCAUAGAUAUUGAAUACUUCCAGCGCCUCUAGACUGAAGAGAUGGGAGCCCAGGGGCAGUGCACCGAGGGGAAGGAAUAGCUAAAGCAAAGGUCUAGUAGCCUGAAAAACCUUGGAGAAAAGAUGGCCCCUCCAUGAGGCCGAGUGAGAAGAAGGAAGCCUUGGCUGGGACCCUGCCACAUCCAAUGUCACCGGCAGAUGGGUACACCCCCUUUUCCCCAUGCAUGGAUUCAGCUGUCCCACAGACACAUUGACUCAGGCCCUUGGAACUACUUCCUGUCUUGCCUUAGCACGUAGACAUCACACACAUGCAUCCACUCGGGUGGGCAGUCUCAGGCCCUGCUCCCACUGCUGUGCUCAGCGUGCAUCCAGCUCACUCAAUUGAUGGUUUCUGAGCAUCGAGGUCAUGUCAGCCCUGGCUCUAGGUCUGUAGGUGCUGGACCUACAGCAGAAGGCAAAGACACAGACUGGCAAAGACACAGCUUGUAUCCACGUUCAGGGGUCAGGGAAGGUCCCUCUGUGCAAGCAAACUAUGGAACAACGGGUGGAGCAGGCCCAGCAAGUGCAAAGGCCCGGAGCAUCCCGGCGGCGCAGGCGCAGAGGACAGCGAGCUGCAGGCCUACAUCGCACAGUGCCAGGACAGCCCCACCUCCGGCAAGUUCCGCCGCGGGAGCGGCUCGGCCUGCAGCCUUCUCUGCUGUUGCGGAAGGGACCCCUCGGAGGAGCAUUCGCUGCUGGUGAAUUGAUUCGACCUGACUGCCGUUGGACCGUAGGCCCUGGACUGCAGAGACCCCCGCCCCCGACCCCGCUUAUUUAUUUUUAGGGUUUGCUUUUAAGGAUCGGCUCCCUGUCGCGCCCGAGGAGGGCCUGGACCUUUCGUGUCGGACCCUUGGGGGCGGGGAGACUGGGUGGGGAGGGUGUUGAAUAAAAGGGAAAAUAAA